GUGCCCUCUUAUUCUUCAUGUGAGAAAUAUUUUUAUAUAAUUUUUUUAUACCUAGAAGACUUUUUCAUAUCCUUAUCUGAUUCUUUUUGAAUUAAAAAUUUGUUGAUUUAAAUUUGGGUUCAAAUGGGUUUGAAUUUGAAUGAAAACCUAGAGUCUAAAUUGAGUUGGACUUUCCUCUUCAUGCCACCACCUUUCUCCACACAUAAAAUAUUUUUGCAUAAGAUUCUUUUGCAUCAUUUUGAUGUUGGUCGA
rnacentral:lncRNA from 1 species